rnacentral:rRNA from 1 species
CGGGGGAUAGCCUCUGGAAACGGGGGGUAAUACCGCAUACGACACAGUUGAGGCAUCUUAAUUGUGAGAAAGGGUUACGCAAGUAACUCACUCAAGGAGGGCGUUUUGCGGCCUAUCAGGUAGUUGGUGGGGUCACGGGCCUACCAAGCCAAAGACGGGUAGCUGGUCUGAGAGGACGGUCAGCCACACUGGGACUGAGAUACGGCCCAG